CACCAAAUUCUAAUGGGAUUAGGAUUAAAAUUCAGCAUCAAGAAAGAGUCUAUUUGGACUAGGACUCCUCCAAUUAGGAGACAUCUAAUCUAAAUUAAUUAGACUCUAAAUUAGAUUUAAAUUCUUAUUUAUUUGAGUCUAAUCUGAUCUUAAUAUGAUUAAGAUUAAUUAAUAUUUUAAUUAAAUUUAAAAUAAUAAUUUAAUCAAGAGUCCCAUG
rnacentral:lncRNA from 1 species